rnacentral:rRNA from 1 species
UACGGGGGGGGCAAGCGUUGUUCGGAAUUACUGGGCGUAAAGGGCUCGUAGGCGGCCGCUUAAGUCAGACGUGAAAUCCCUCGGCUCAACCGGGACACUGCGUCUGAGACUGAAUGGCUUGAAUCCGGGAGAGGGAUGCGGAAUUCCAGGUGUAGCGGUGAAAUGCGUAGAUAUCAGGAAGAACACCGGUGGCGAAGGCGGCUCGCUGGGCCAGUUCUGACACUCAUCCGCGAAAGCGUGGGGAGCAAACAGG